UACGUAGGGUGCAAGCGUUGUCCGGAAUUAUUGGGCGUAAAGAGCUCGUAGGCGGUUCGUCGCGUCGGCUGUGAAAUCCCGAGGCUCAACCUCGGGUCUGCAGUCGAUACGGGCGGACUGGAGUUCGGCAGGGGAGACUGGAAUUCCUGGUGUAGCGGUGAAAUGCGCAGAUAUCAGGAGGAACACCGGUGGCGAAGGCGGAUCUCUGGGCCUUGCCUGACGCUGAGGCGCGAAAGCUAGGGGAGCGAACAGG
rnacentral:rRNA from 1 species